rnacentral:lncRNA from 1 species
UCUUGACCCUGAAGCUUGACUCUGGAUGUGACUUGAGAAGCAGGGAGAAUCAGGACGUCAGAGCUGAGCUGGAUUGGAGAGCACGGAGCACCUAGUCUGGCAAAAGUCAGAGAAGAGAUGUGUCUUGGGCCUGUGCGGGCGGUCUGCAUGCUUUACUCUGGAGGCUCAAUCCAGGAAUACGAGCUGCUGCUUCAGGUGCACUAUGGAAAUUCCAAGAAGAAAAGAGAGCUGAAGGAAUUUCUGAAGUCGUGGGCGCCUCCCUUAUUUUUCUUACCUGAGCCAGUGAAUAUAAUCAGAGCAAAAGCCACCACGUACUGUGGCUACCAGAACGGGGUCCUGCGCUGUGCCUGUGAAGACAGCUACUCCUGGUUUCCUCCCCAGUGCCUCGAUCCCCAGAAUUGCUCCCUUCUCAAGGCAGGAUCACUCCAGAGCUGUGACUGUCAUUCCAGCAACCUCACCCAGAGCGUAUAUUUCUGUGAGAGAACAAAGGUUUGGGGUACUUUCAAAAUUAAUGAAAAAUUUACAGAAGACCUUUUGGAUUCAUCUUCUGCUAUGUACGCCAAAUAUACCACUGGAAUUGAAAGGCAGCUAAAGGAAGCAUACAAAGGAAUCCAAGGUUUUGAAGCCGUUCGAGUCACCCAGUUUCGAAAUGGAAGCAUCGUUGUUGGGUAUGAAGUUGUUGGUUCCAGCAGCACAUCUGAGCUCCUGUCGGGCGUUGAGCAGAUGGCUAAGAAAGCUAAGACAUAUCUGUGCAAGCUGUAUGCACUUGAAGAAGAUUCUUUCAGAGUGUUCGGAGAAGCCCAGUGUAACAGCAUUGCCUUUGGAUUUGGGUUUGAGAAUGACGAGUACACUCUUCCCUGUAGCCUUGGCUACAUCGGAAGCAUCACGGUCAGGUGCCAACCCUCUGGGUGGCAUAUCCUCGAGGAGAUGUGUGUGCUCUCUGAGCUGGAAGAACUGAAGAAGGACUUAACUGAGCUCGCCAGCAACAAUACUGACACUGAGGCAGCUGUGUCAUCACUGGUGCAGAAGCUUUCGAUGGUCAUUCAGCAAAGCCCGUCAACCACAGCUGGGAAUCUGGCUUCCGUGGUGUCAAUUCUGGGCAAUAUCUCAUCUCUGAAGAAAAACUUCACGGUGUCCAAUUCGACAAUGGAGAAUGUCAUCAAUAUAGCUGAUCACAUCCUUAAUUCAGCUUCGCUAACCAACUGGACAGUGUUACUGAAGAAAGAAAAGGAUGCCAGUUCCCAGUUACUAGCAUCACUGGAAAACAUCAGCGCUCUGGUACCUUCGACAGCUCUGCCUCUAACUUUUUCUCGAGACUUCAUUAACUGGAAAGGGAUUCCAGUGUCUGCAAAUCUCAGCAAUGAAGGUUACAAUUAUGAGACUGAAUUUUUCCCCCAAAAUACCCCCAGUCCCAUCACAGGCCAUGUGUCUAUUGGGCCAGAACAAUUCAAGAGGCACCUUCUACAUACUAUCAUCAGCAUGACCUCUUUGACCCUGGGGAACAUUCUACCCAUGGCUAAAAAUAUAAAUGCUCAGGUUAAUGGGCCCUUGAUAUCCAUUAUUAUCUCAAACUCUUCCAUCAAUGAAGUUUCCCUGACUUUUUCUAAGAUGAAAUUGAAUCUGAGUCAACCUCAUUGUGUGUUUUGGGAUUUCAGUCAUUUGCAGUGGGCAGAUACUGGCUGCCACUUACAGAAUGAAACUGCAAGCUUGGUGACAUGCCUCUGUACUCACCUGACCUCCUUCUCCGUGCUGAUGUCCCCCACUGUCCCCCCUGCCAUCGUCCCCGUUGUGAAAUGGAUCACCUUUGUGGGGCUGGGGGUCUCCAUCGGAAGUCUCAUCUUAUGCCUGGCCAUCGAAGGUCUGUUUUGGAAGCAGGUCAACAAAAACCAAACCUCACACAGCCGUCACAUCUGCCUAGUGAACAUAGCUCUGUGCCUCCUGAUUGCUGACGUCUGGUUUAUUGUUGCUGCCACGGUGGACACAAACUCUGGCGUCUGCAUAGCUGCCGUGUUCUUUGCACACUUUUUCUACCUCUCCUUGUUCUUCUGGAUGCUUCUGCUCGGGUUCCUGUUGGCAUAUCGGGUGAUCUUCGUGUUCCAUCACAUGGCCACACUUUUGAUGGUGGCUGCUGGGUUCUGCCUGGGCUACGGGUGCCCUCUCAUUAUAUCCAUCGUCACCAUUGUGGUCAUGCAGCCCAGCGAUGGCUACAAAAGGAAGGAUGCAUGUUGGCUUAACUGGUCCGACGGGAGCAAGCCUCUCUUGGCCUUUGUGGUUCCUGCCCUGACUAUUGUGGCUGUAAAUUUGGUUGUGGUGCUAUUAGUCCUCACAAAGCUCGGGAGGCCAGCUGUUGGAGAAAGGCUGGCCCAGGACCACAAGGCCACUGUAAUGCGUAUAGGGAGGAGCCUCCUCGUCCUGACCCCUCUUCUGGGGCUCACCUGGGGUUUCGGCAUAGCAACAAUGGUGGACGGCUGGAAUCUGUCUUGGCACGUUAUUUUCGCAUUUCUCAAUGCAUUCCAGGGUCUUUUCAUCUUAUGUUUCGGAAUUCUCUUGGAUAGUAAGCUGCGACAGCUGCUACUCAACAAGUUGUCUCCUUUAAGCUGUUGGGACCAGGCUUCAAAGCAGAAGUUAUCAGAUUCGUCUGUCAAACUCAGAUUCGAAAAGACUUUCAACCCAUUCCAACAGAAAGGCCUCUAUGUAUUUUCUUAUACUGGAGAAUCCUCACAUGACAUCAUGCUAACUCAGUUUUCAUCAGCUGAACAAAGCGGGGAAUCCUAA